ensembl:misc_RNA Metazoa_SRP Metazoan signal recognition particle RNA
GCCGGGCGUGGUGGCGGGCGCCUGUAAUCCCAGCUACUUCGGGAGGCUGAGGCAGGAGAAUCGCUUGAGCCUGGGAGGCAGAGGCUGCAGUGAGCCGAGAUCGCACCAUUGCACUCUGGCCUAGGCGACAAGAGUGAAAUUCUGCCUCAA